rnacentral:rRNA from 1 species
GAUGAACGCUGGCGGCGUGCCUAAUACAUGCAAGUCGAGCGAACAGAUGAGGAGCUUGCUCCUCUGACGUUAGCGGCGGACGGGUGAGUAACACGUGGAUAACCUACCUAUAAGACUGGGAUAACUUCGGGAAACCGGAGCUAAUACCGGAUAAUAUAUUGAACCGCAUGGUUCAAUAGUGAAAGACGGUUUUGCUGUCACUUCUAGAUGGAUCCGCGCCGCAUUAGCUAGUUGGUAAGGUAACGGCUUACCAAGGCAACGAUGCGUAGCCGACCUGAGAGGGUGAUCGGCCACACUGGAACUGAGACACGGUCCAGACUCCUACGGGAGGCAGCAGUAGGGAAUCUUCCGCAAUGGGCGAAAGCCUGACGGAGCAACGCCGCGUGAGUGAUGAAGGUCUUCGGAUCGUAAAACUCUGUUAUUAGGGAAGAACAAAUGUGUAAGUAACUAUGCACGUCUUGACGGUACCUAAUCAGAAAGCCACGGCUAACUACGUG